CAUGACUUGCACCAACUUCGAAUACAAAGAAACUCAUCUCAAGUUUAGCCCUACAACUAUCUCUUUGGAUGCAGCCCUGAUUGCAUUGUUCAAUAGUUAGAGCAAUUUUCCCUGCUAGGUCUCCUUGGUUUUGCACCAUCAAAAUAUCCUCAAACUUCUUUUUACACUUAAUGAUUGGAGCCAGCUGGUUUCAUGAGCUUGG
rnacentral:lncRNA from 1 species